GCGCUCUUGAUUGCUUUGGGUACCGGCCUACAACCAUGGUUAAAGUUAUUACCCCUUCCACUAGCACAGCAUUGCCAGUGAACCCUACCAAUGGGGAGUUUAUUGGCCCCAAUCAACCAUCCGGAAUGGAUAUUUUCAAGAAUGCAUCAUAAAAUAGAAUAUCAGCCAAGCUUCCACUAUCAACAAGAAUGUGGCAUACAUCAUAGUCA
rnacentral:lncRNA from 1 species